rnacentral:rRNA from 1 species
CUAAUGAUUUAUCCCGUUCGACCACAACAGCAGCCUCUUGGUCAAGUUGGCAACGCAAUGGUGCAAACGUCUUUGCUACGCUUGAACAUAAUUUUGAUAAUAAUUGGGACG